rnacentral:rRNA from 1 species
AAUGAACGCUGGCGGCAUGCCUAACACAUGCAAGUCGAACGGAGAACAGCUUGCUGUUCUUAGUGGCAAACGGGUGAGUAACGCGUGGGAAUCUACCUUUCUGUGGGGGAUAACUGGGGGAAACUUCAGCUAAUACCGCAUACGCUCGGAAACGAGGAAAGAUUUAUUGCAGAAAGAUGAGCCCGCGUCAGAUUAGGUAGUUGGUGGGGUAAUGGCCUACCAAGCCGACGAUCUGUAGCUGGUCUGAGAGGAUGAUCAGCCACACUGGGAUUGAGAUACGGCCCAGACUCCUACGGGAGGCAGCAGUGAGGAAUAUUGGACAAUGGGGGAAACCCUGAUCCAGCAAUGCCGCGUGAAUGAAGAAGGCCUUCGGGUUGUAAAAUUCUUUCACUCGUGAAGAUGAUGACGGUAGCGAGAGAAGAAGCUCCGGCUAACUCUGUGCCAGCCGCCGCAGAA